rnacentral:rRNA from 1 species
GCAGGUGGGCAAGCGUUGUCCGGAAUUAUUGGGCGUAAAGCGCGCGCAGGGCGGUCCUUUAAGUCUGAUGUGAAAGCCCACGGCUCAACCGUGGAGGGUCAUUGGAAACUGGGGGACUUGAGUACAGAAGAGGAAAGCGGAAUUCCACGUGUAGCGGUGAAAUGCGUAGAGAUGUGGAGGAACACCAGUGGCGAAGGCGGCUUUCUGGUCUGUAACUGACGCUGAGGCGCGAAAGCGUGGGGAGCAAACAGGAUUAGAUACCCUGGUAGUCCACGCCGUAAACGAUGAGUGCUAAGUGUUAGGGGGUUUCCGCCCCUUAGUGCUGCAGCUAACGCAUUAAGCACUCCGCCUGGGGAGUACGGCCGCAAGGCUG